rnacentral:tRNA from 5 species
CAGGGAGUAGUUUAAUAUAGAAUUUCAG